ACGAACGCUGGCGGCGUGCUUAACACAUGCAAGUCGAACGGAAAGGCCUGCUUUCCCUUGUGGAUUGCGGGUACUCGAGUGGCGAACGGGUGAGUAACACGUGAGUGAUCUGCCCCCAACUUGGGUAUAAGCCUGGGAAACUGGGUCUAAUUCCCGAUAGGACUGCAGGGUGGUGCCUGUGGUGGAAAACGAUUUUCUAGUGGUUGGGGAUGAGCUCGCGGCCUAUCAGCUUGUUGGUGGGGUAAUGGCCUACCAAGGCGGCGACGGGUAGCCGGCCUGAGAGGGUGGACGGCCACAUUGGGACUGAGAUACGGCCCAGACUCCUACGGGAGGCAGCAGUGGGGAAUAUUGCACAAUGGGCGGAAGCCUGAUGCAGCGACGCCGCGUGGGGGAUGACGGCCUUCGGGUUGUAAACUCCUUUCGACCGCGAGGAAGCCACCUGGUUGGAAGGGUGGUGACGGUAGAGGUAGAAGAAGCACCGGCUAACUACGUG
rnacentral:rRNA from 1 species